rnacentral:rRNA from 1 species
GACGAACGCUGGCGGCGUGCCUAAUACAUGCAAGUAGAACGCUGAAGAGAGGAGCUUACUCUUCUUGGAUGAGUUGCGAACGGGUGAGUAACGCGUAGGUAACCUGCCUUGUAGCGGGGGAUAACUAUUGGAAACGAUAGCUAAUACCGCAUAACAAUGGAUGACACAUGUCAUUUAUUUGAAAGGGGCGAUUGCUCCACUACAAGAUGGACCUGCGUUGUAUUAGCUAGUAGGUGAGGUAAUGGCUCACCUAGGCGACGAUACAUAGCCGACCUGAGAGGGUGAUCGGCCACACUGGGACUGAGACACGGCCCAGACUCCUACGGGAGGCAGCAGUAGGGAAUCUUCGGCAAUGGGGGCAACCCUGACCGAGCAACGCCGCGUGAGUGAAGAAGGUUUUCGGAUCGUAAAGCUCUGUUGUAAGUCAAGAACAGGUGUGAGAGUGGAAAGUUCACACUGUGACGGUAGCUUACCAGAAAGGGACGGCUAACUACGUG